CGUAUCACCCAAGACAACUUUGCACAGUUGACGAUUGGCGGAGCGAAGCGACGUCAAAGCGUUUUACAACGUCGAGUUGGCUUAGGGAUACGUUCGUUGGGUAGGGGAGCGUUCUGUAAGCCUGUGAAGGUGGCCUGUGAGGGUUGCUGGAGGUAUCAGAAGUGCGAAUGCUGACAUAAGUAACGAUAAAGCGGGUGAAAAGCCCGCUCGCCGGAAGACCAAGGGUUCCUGUCCAACGUUAAUCGGGGCAGGGUGAGUCGACCCCUAAGGCGAGGCCGAAAGGCGUAGUCGAUGGGAAACGGGUUAAUAUUCCCGUACUUGGUGUUACUGCGAAGGGGGGACGGAGAAGGCUAUGUUGGCCGGGCGACGGUUGUCCCGGUUUAAGCGUGUAGGUGUGUGUUCCAGGUAAAUCCGGUUCACUUUAACACUGAGGCGUGACGACGAGGCACUACGGUGCUGAAGCAACAAAUGCCCUGCUUCCAGGAAAAGCCUCUAAGCAUCAGGUAACACGAAAUCGUACCCCAAACCGACACAGGUGGUCAGGUAGAGAAUACCAAGGCGCUUGAGAGAACUCGGGUGAAGGAACUAGGCAAAAUGGUGCCGUAACUUCGGGAGAAGGCACGCUGACAUGUAGGUGAAGUGAUUUACUCAUGGAGCUGAAGUCAGUCGAAGAUACCAGCUGGCUGCAACUGUUUAUUAAAAACACAGCACUGUGCAAACACGAAAGUGGACGUAUACGGUGUGACGCCUGCCCGGUGCCGGAAGGUUAAUUGAUGGGGUCAGCGCAAGCGAAGCUCCUGAUCGAAGCCCCGGUAAACGGCGGCCGUAACUAUAACGGUCCUAAGGUAGCGAAAUUCCUUGUCGGGUAAGUUCCGACCUGCACGAAUGGCGUAAUGAUGGCCAGGCUGUCUCCACCCGAGACUCAGUGAAAUUGAACUCGCUGUGAAGAUGCAGUGUACCCGCGGCAAGACGGAAAGACCCCGUGAACCUUUACUAUAGCUUGACACUGAACAUUGAGCCUUGAUGUGUAGGAUAGGUGGGAGGCUUUGAAGUGUGGACGCCAGUCUGCAUGGAGCCGACCUUGAAAUACCACCCUUUAAUGUUUGAUGUUCUAACGUGGACCCGUGAUCCGGGUUGCGGACAGUGUCUGGUGGGUAGUUUGACUGGGGCGGUCUCCUCCUAAAGAGUAACGGAGGAGCACGAAGGUUGGCUAAUCCUGGUCGGACAUCAGGAGGUUAGUGCAAUGGCAUAAGCCAGCUUGACUGCGAGCGUGACGGCGCGAGCAGGUGCGAAAGCAGGUCAUAGUGAUCCGGUGGUUCUGAAUGGAAGGGCCAUCGCUCAACGGAUAAAAGGUACUCCGGGGAUAACAGGCUGAUACCGCCCAAGAGUUCAUAUCGACGGCGGUGUUUGGCACCUCGAUGUCGGCUCAUCACAUCCUGGGGCUGAAGUAGGUCCCAAGGGUAUGGCUGUUCGCCAUUUAAAGUGGUACGCGAGCUGGGUUUAGAACGUCGUGAGACAGUUCGGUCCCUAUCUGCCGUGGGCGCUGGAGAACUGAGGGGGGCUGCUCCUAGUACGAGAGGACCGGAGUGGACGCAUCACUGGUGUUCGGGUUGUCAUGCCAAUGGCACUGCCCGGUAGCUAAAUGCGGAAGAGAUAAGUGCUGAAAGCAUCUAAGCACGAAACUUGCCCCGAGA
rnacentral:rRNA from 1 species